GUACACACCGCCCGUCACAUCACGAAAGUGGGCUGUACUAGAAGACGUUGAGCUAACCGUAAGGAGGCAGGCGCCCAAGGUAUGGUCGAUGAUUGGGGUGAAGUCGUAACAAGGUAGCCGUAGGUGAACCUGCAGAAGGAUCA
rnacentral:rRNA from 1 species